rnacentral:rRNA from 1 species
CCCUUAGAUGUUCUGGGCCGCACGCGUGCUACAAUGGCAAAAUCAACGAGUAUACCUUUGUCGACAGACAUGGGAAAUCUUUUCAGUUCUUGCCGUGAUGGGGCUAGACCCUUGUAAUUGUUGGUCUCCAACGAGGAAUUCCUAGUAAACGCAAGUCAUUAUCUUGCAUUGAUUACGUCCCUGCCCUUUGUACACACCGCCCGUCGCUCCUACCGAUUGAGUGGUCCGGUGAGGCUUUGGGAUCUGAGCGGAAAGAGCGUUUCGCUGUUUCUGCUCGGAAAACUCAGUCGAACCUUAUCAUUUAGAGGAAGGAGAAGUCGUAACA